AUUGACGCUGGCGGCAUGCCCUACACAUUCAAAGUCGAACGGUAACAGGUCUUCGGUUGCUGACGAGUGGCGAACGGGUGAGUAAUACAUCGGAACGUGCCCGAGAGUGGGGGAUAACGAAGCGAAAGCUUUGCUAAUACCGCAUACGAUCUCAGGAUGAAAGCAGGGGGACCGCAAGGCCUUGCGCUCACGGAGCGGCCGAUGGCAGAUUAGGUAGUUGGUGGGAUAAAGGCUUACCAAGCCGACGAUCUGUAGCUGGUCUGAGAGGACGACCAGCCACACUGGGACUGAGACACGGCCCAGACUCCUACGGGAGGCAUGCAGUGGGGAAUUUUGGACAAUGGGCGCAAGCCUGAUCCAGCCAUGCCGCGUGCAGGAUGAAGGCCUUCGGGUUGUAAACUGCUUUUGUACGGAACUGAAAAGACUCUGGUUAAUACCUGGGGUCCAUGACGGUACCGUAAGAAUAAGCACCGGCUAACUACGUGCCAGCAGCCGCGGUAAUACGUAGGGUGCGAGCGUUAAUCGGAAUUACUGGGCGUAAAGCGUGCGCAGGCGGUUAUGUAAGACACGAUGUGAAAAUCCCCGGGCUCAAACCUGGGAACUGCAUUUGUGACU
rnacentral:rRNA from 1 species